AUCCAGAUGACGAGUCCUAAACAGGUUAAAACGCGCGUCUUGUAU
rfam:Schistosoma margrebowiei strain Zambia genome assembly, scaffold: SMRZ_contig0001453